GCCGGGAUGGCGGAAUCGGCAGACGCGAUGGUCUCAAAAACCAUUGUCCGAAAGGGCGUGCGGGUUCAAGUCCCGCUCCCGGCACCC
rnacentral:tRNA from 1 species